rnacentral:rRNA from 1 species
UCUCCCACGACUCGGCCGCGUCGACGAGUUUGAUCCUGGCUCAGGAUGAACGCUGGCGGUCUGCUUAACACAUGCAAGUCGACCAAGUAGAACGCUGAAGGAGGAGCUUGCUCUUCUGGAUGAGUUGCGAACGGGUGAGUAACGCGUAGGUAACCUGCCUGGUAGCGGGGGAUAACUAUUGGAAACGAUAGCUAAUACCGCAUAACAUUGACUAUUGCAUGAUAGU